AGAUUGAACGCUGGCGGCAUGCCUAACACAUGCAAGUCGAACGGGAGUAGCAAUACUCUAGUGGCGGACGGGUGAGGAAUACGUAGGAAUUUGCCCUUAAGUGGGGGAUAACCCGGGGAAACCCGGAUUAAUACCGCAUGACCUCGAAAGAGCAAAGUGGGGGAUCGCAAGACCUCACGCUUUUGGAGAAGCCUACGUCGGAUUAGCUAGUUGGUGAGGUAAUGGCUCACCAAGGCACGAUCCGUAACUGGUCUGAGAGGAUGAUCAGUCACACCGGAACUGAGACACGGUCCGGACUCCUACGGGAGGCAGCAGUGGGGAAUAUUGGACAAUGGGCGCAAGCCUGAUCCAGCAACGCCGCGUGUGUGAAGAAGCCUGGUUCGUAAGCAUUUAAGUUGGAAGAAAAACUACGACUCGUAACUACAGUGAGUCUUGACGUACGACCAGAAUAAGACACGACUAACUACUGUGCCAGACACGCCGACGGUAA
rnacentral:rRNA from 1 species